UCUCCUUGGGGCCUGGAGCUGCCCUUUGCUGGGCCAGUGUUGCAGCACUGACUCAGCACUUCCCAGGGACCCCUGGGGCCGGGGCGUUCUCUGCUGAGGUCAGCGCCAGGCCCCAGCUGGGGAGCUGCAGGAGGCCACUCUUUGGCUCGGUGAAGCUGCAGGGACCCCAGGCCCUCCCAGCCCACCAUCUGGAUCCCCGGAGAAGCCGCAGGAAGGCAACAGGAACAAGGAAUCAGAAAAGAUAAAAAAUGCAAGAACCAACUCUAAGCUGUCUACGAGAAGCCGACAAGACACACAAAGACACGGAGAGGUCCGGAGUGGAAGGAUGGAAGAGCAGAUACCAUGGGAGGAGGCCUGGGCUGGCUCUGCUGAUGUCAGAGGAGUGCGAUGCCGGGAUAGGAGGCACGCUGCCUGAGGGUUACGGGAUCGGCUUAUCAGUAAGACGUUCAUCCCCUACGGCUACCUGCGCCUGAUCAGCAGUCCUCAAAAUCCAUGAAGCAAAAACUGACAAAGCUAAAAAGACUGAAACAAAUCCCAAACUGUAGUUGGAGCUUUCAGUAUCCCCUCUUUCUGUGAUUAAUAGGACAAGUAGAUGAGGUCAAUAUGGAAAUAGAGGACUUGCCUGUCAAUCAAUGUUGCCGAUUGACAUUUGUAGGAGGUUUUACCCAAUGGCAGCAGAAUAUUCAUUCUUUUCAGGUACGCAUGGAACAGUCACCAAGAUCAUAUGCAAGGCCAUAGGCAAGUCUCAAUAAAUCUAAAAAUACUGACA